rnacentral:pre_miRNA from 14 species
GUCUAGGACCCCUGGGUGGUCGCGCAGAUCCCGGACGAGCCCCCAAAUGAAAGACCCCCGAAGGGAUCCUCCCACUCAAGUCUCGGGAAAGACGCGCACCCAGUAGGACACAGACACCG